CUGCCUUAAACUAAUGAGUAAGGAAAACAAAGCGAGCGGUGGGAGCCGGUCGCAGCGCUUUAACUGAAACUAGAGUUUCUUGGCGCAAGAAUUUAUGGAGGGGUCAUAGGCUGGUCGGGCCGAGACGCUGCUUACUUUUGCAGAACUCGCUCGUGCGGGCCUCCC